ACAAGUACCGUGAGGGAAAGAUGAAAUAGUACUCAGGAAUGAGGUUUAAAUAGUACCUGAAAUCGUUAAGAUGGAACGGAUUGAGAGAGAAAUAACGUAAGAUGGGAUUUAUUUCUAUGUUUCUUUUGGAUUCAUGUUUUAAUUUCUAUCUUAUUAAAAGGAGCAUCAGUGAAUUUUUGCAUUUGCAUUAUAGUUAAAGGGUUAUUUUUGCUUAUGUAAAGAUAUCGCAUUUCCUUCCGCUAAUAUGGUUGGAAAAAUAACUAUUAUUGCUUGCUAUGUUUACUGAGGAUAUCAAUUAGCUGGGGUUGCCCCUGUUAAUUUAUGUUGCUUCUAAAAAGUACUUUCUUAACCCACUCGUCUUGAAACACGGACCAAGGAGUCUAACAAAUGUGCGAGCGUAUAUAUGUUACGAACUAUAACAGAGAAUGAAAAUUCUUAUAUUUACGCGUAAUUAAUGUAAUUAAUUGGUAGAUCUUUAGGGUGUUUCCCUAAUUUGCAUACCAUGCCGGUUGGCGAUUAUGCUUAAUUGAGUAUGAGUAUAUUUGUUAGGACCCGAGAGGCUUUGAACUAAGCGUGAUGAGAUUGAAGUCAGACGAAAGUCUGAUGGAGGAUCGAAUUGAUACUGACGUGCAAAUCGUUCAUUUCAAUCACGUUUAGGGGCGAAAGACUAAUCGAAAAGCCUAUUAGCUGGUUAUUUUCGAAAGAUCUCUCAGGAUCGCUGGAGUUGAUUAAUAUAGUUUUACGAGGUAGAGAUAAUGAUUAGAGGAAUCAGGGAAAUCGUUUUCCUUGACCUAUUCUCAAACUCCCAAUACGUAAUAAGGGAUUAAUAUCUUUAUUGUAUUUUUCCCACUAUAAAUAAGAUAACUCCAAGUGGGCCAUUUUUGGUAAGCAGAACUGGCGAUGAGGGAUGCUCCUAACGCUUGGAUAAGGUGCCUAAAUAUUCGCUCAUGAGAUCCCAUAAAAGGUGUUGGUUCAUAAUGACAGUAGGACGGUGGUCAUGGAAGUCGAAAUCCGCUAAGGAGUGUGUAACAACUCACCUACCGAAUGAACUAGCCCUGAAAAUGGAUGGCGCUAAAGCGGAUUACCGAUACCAAGCCAUAGAAAGAGAUUUAAGGGUUAUUUGGGUUCGUCCCUAUUAAUCUUUUUUUGAAUCUUUCUAUGAGUAGAAAAUCGUGGGGUUUGUGUAGAAGCAAGAUGCGUGAGCUCUUGUGGAACAUAUCCCUAGUGCAGAUCUUGGUGGAAGUAGCAAUUAUUCAAAUGAGAACUUUGAAGACUGAAGUGGAGAAGGGUUUCUUGUCAACUGUGAUUGUACAAGAGUUAGCCGCUCCUAAGGGAAAGCUGAAAUGCGUUUAAUUGGGGAUUCGAUGUCAUAGGCAACUAUGACCUCUCUCCCCGUCCCGAAAGGGAAACAGGUUGAUAUUCCUGUGCCGAUAGUAAUUUGGGUAUUUGAGAUGGUAACAUAUAUAUAAAUGAACUCCUUUACGUAGGUCUUACACUCGGGGUGCGUUUUCUUUGCACUUUAACUUUAUAGCCGACCUUGGAAUCAAUUUAGUUGGAGAAGAGGUUUGCUGAAUUCAAUUCGGGGUAAUCUGCUAUGAAUGAAGUAAUUUGUUCUUGUAUGAUUCCCUGUUUUGAGUAAUAGUAAUUCAUUUUUAUGGAUUAUCCGAAGCCGUAAGGACUACCCUUGAAAAAAGGAGGGAACAGCAAGAGGUGAGUUUACUCAUUUCUUGUCGCCCUGAUUUACUUGUAUGAGCGUACCAACAACCGCAUCAGGUCUCCUAGGUUAACAGCCUCUGGUUAAAUAGAAAAAAGUAAGUAAGGGAAGUCGGCAAAAUAGAUCCGUAACUUCGGGAAAAGGAUUGGCUCUGAGGACAUAUGAGUAGAGAUGUUUAAAUUAACGUUUGAAAAAUGAUAUAAAGAAAGCAUUUUGGUUCGCCAUUGUGCUUUUAUUUUAUUUCGUUUAUCUUAUGUUUUUUUUAUUCUAUCCCUCUACUCGCCGCUGUUUUGGCGUUACUUCGGUUGCGUCAUUAUGGCUCUAUCAUGUUAACUCAGAACUGAAACGGACAAGGGGAAUCCGACUGUUUAAUUAAAACAUAGCAUUGUGAAAGCCACAAAUGGUAUUAACACAAUGUGAUUUCUGCCCAGUGCUUUGAAUGUCAACUUGAUGAAAUUCAAUCAAGCGCAGGUAAACGGCGGGAGUAACUAUGACUCUCUUAAGGUAGCCAAAUGCCUCGUCAUCUAAUUAGUGACGCGCAUGAAUGGAUUAACGAGAUUCCCACUGUCCCUACUUGCUAUCUAGCGAAACCACAGCCAAGGGAACGGGCUUGGCCAAAUCAGCGGGGAAAGAAGACCCUGUUGAGCUUUACUCUAGUCUGGCUUUGUGAAACGACUUAAGAGGUGUAGCAUAAGUGGGAGCAGAGAUUGAAAUAUAUUUUUGCGACAGUGAAAUACCACUACUUUUAAAGUUGUUUUACUUAUCUAUUUAUAGGGAAAUAUAUUUACGUUUACCAGCUUGCUGGUUGUGCGUAUCUGAUAUUAUUUGAGUUUGAUGAGAUCCGUAAGGUUCUCAUUUCUCUCCCGCUUCUAUGGAGACAUAGCCAGGUGGGGAGUUUGACUGGGGCGGUACAUCUGUUAAACAAUAACGCAGAUGUCCAAAGACAAGCUCAAAGAGAACAGAAAUCU
rnacentral:rRNA from 1 species